AGCCGCCGCCGCCCCGGCGCAACUCAUUGCCGGAACUAAAAAAAGCAACCACUUCGUUGAACGGAACUGGCCAAUAGUGCCCUUGGCUCGGACUGAUGACGCACAGCAGACGAAAAAGCAAAGAGGAACUUUACAAACUAUUACAGUUUUCCAUCAUCACUUGACUGCUGACAAGAAGCCUCUUUGAAUUCCAGUAUACACGAUCACAUUUUAAAACCUUCAAGACGCCGUUUAAUCAGGAGUUGUAAGGCACAUUUGUUAGAGAGAGCUGCACUUUAAAAGUUAUACAGACAUCACCUGAAGUUAUUAAAGUUAUCAAAACAUAUUAAAAACCUUCAAGUAAGAGGCUACUCCCCAGGAAACGUGUGGAGCCAGUGAACGGAAGAAAAACAAUGGAAGGAAGGCUUGAAAAGUCCAUUACAAAACUACAGUCCUUUGAAAAAGAUUUCAAAGAUAUUAAAAUGAAAACUGAUUACAUUAAACAAUAA
rnacentral:lncRNA from 1 species